UCAGGCCAGGGCUUUAUAAAGCUGCGCACAAGCGACCAGGGAGCUUAGCGAACAGGAGCUGCUAACAGGGAGUUUUGCAAGGGAGUUCUCCAGGUGAAGGAGGAGCACAGACAGCAUCUGUGGGGUAAGUGACUGUCUGCAGUGUUUGGGUUUGUGUGUGUGUUUGGGGGUUACUUGCUGUGUGCUGAGCUUGUGUUUGUCAGUCUGUUUGGUCUGUUUGUUUGAAGGACCGUGUGCUGUAGCUGGCAGUUGGAGGUGGAGCUACUAGGAAGGUUUGAAAGCUAGAAGCCUCUGGUAAUUGGCUGAGCCUUAACCAGUGGGCGGGGCAUUCACUCAGGCCAGGGCUUUAUAAAGCUGCGCACAAGCGACCAGGGAGCUUAGCGAACAGGAGCUGCUAACAGGGAGUUUUGCAAGGGAGUUCUCCAGGUGAAGGAGGAGCACAGACAGCAUCUGUGGGGUAAGUGACUGUCUGCAGUGUUUGGGUUUGUGUGUGUGUUUGGGGGUUACUUGCUGUGUGCUGAGCUUGUGUUUGUCAGUCUGUUUGGUCUGUUUGUUUGAAGGACCGUGUGCUGUAGCUGGCAGUUGGAGGUGGAGCUACUAGGAAGGUUUGAAAGCUAGAAGCCUCUGGUAAUUGGCUGAGCCUUAACCAGUGGGCGGGGCAUUCACUCAGGCCAGGGCUUUAUAAAGCUGCGCACAAGCGACCAGGGAGCUUAGCGAACAGGAGCUGCUAACAGGGAGUUUUGCAAGGGAGUUCUCCAGGUGAAGGAGGAGCACAGACAGCAUCUGUGGGGUAGGGGUCCAGGCAGAGACAGAUGCAUUGUGGAGGUGAAUGCCUGGCUGCGAAGAUGGUGUCGCCAGGAGGGCUUUGGCUUCCUCGACCACGGGAUGCUACUUGAGGAAGGACUGCUAGGAACAGAUGGCGUUCACCUUUCGAAGAGAGGAAAGGCCUUAUUCGCGCACAGACUGGCUAACCUGGUAAGGAGGGCU